rnacentral:lncRNA from 1 species
GAAUCUCAACUCUUGUAAUUUUUAUUUUUAUUUAUUUUUUAAUUAGCGUCUUUCUUAUUUUUUAUUUUAUUAUCAAACAAAAGAAUUUAUUCCCUCAGUUGGGGAACCAAUGGAUGGAAAAAGUGGCUCUGGGACCAAAGUUUAAAUCUCACCUCUUAUAAUUUUUACUUUUAUUUUUAUCUUUUUUAAUUGACACAUU